rnacentral:rRNA from 1 species
CUACCACGUCACCAUCAGUAGCUUCACCGACAUGAUGAUCAUCCCUCUGUAACCGAGACACAGCUCCCCACUCCUACACGAGGCCGCACUGUCGACUAUUGGACAAUGGGGGCAACCCUGAUCUGACAAUGCUGCGUGUGUGAAGAUAGCCUGAGGGUUGCACACCUAUUUCAGUGGGGAGGAGGGUUAGUAGGUUAAUAGCUAAUCUGAUUAUGACGUUACCCACAUAAGAUGCACCGGCUAACUCCUAUGCCAGCAGCCGCGGUAAUACGGAGGGUGCAAGCGUUAAUCGGAAUUACUGGGCGUAAAGCGUGCGUAGGUGGUUAAUUAAGUUAUCUGUAAAAUCCCUGGGCUUAACCUGGGCAGGUCAGAUGAUACUGGUUAACUCGAGUAUGGGAGAGGGUAGUGGAAUUUCCGGUGUAGCGCUGAAAUGCCUAUAGAUCGCAAGGAACACCCGUGGCCAAGGGGGGUACCUGGCCUUCUACUGACACUUAGGCGCUAAAGCGUGGGGAGCAAUCAGGACUACAGACCCUGGUGUUCCCCGCCGCUAUACGAUGUCGCCUAGGUGUUGGAGAUGUGUUUAUAUUAUAUGGUGCUGCA